rnacentral:rRNA from 1 species
AACGAACGCUGGCGGCAGGCUUAACACAUGCAAGUCGAGCGCCCCGCAAGGGGAGCGGCAGACGGGUGAGUAACACGUGGGGAUCUGCCCAAUGGUACGGAAUAGCUCCGGGAAACUGGAAUUAAUACCGUAUGUGCCCGCAAGGGGAAAGAUUUAUCGCCAUUGGAUGAACCCGCGUCGGAUUAGCUAGUUGGUGUGGUAAAGGCGCACCAAGGCGACGAUCCGUAGCUGGUCUGAGAGGAUGAUCAGCCACACUGGGACUGAGACACGGCCUAGACUCCUACGGGAGGCAGCAGUGGGGAAUAUUGGACAAUGGGCGCAAGCCUGAUCCAGCCAUGCCGCGUGAGUGAUGAAGGCCUUAGGGUUGUAAAGCUCUUUCGCCGACGAAGAUAAUGACGGUAGUCGGAGAAGAAGCCCCGGCUAACUUCGUGCCAGCAGCCGCCGUAAGAC